UGUGGGCGCUGGGCGAGCUGGGCCGCCGGGGCCUGCUCGGGCCGGGGCGCAGCCGGGCGCUCAUGCUGACCACGUUCGACCUGGACGCCUACGUC
rnacentral:tRNA from 1 species